GCACAAGCGGUGGAUGAUGUGGAUUAAUUCGAUGCAACGCGAAAACCUUACCUACCCUUGACAUGUCUGGAACCUUGCUGAGAGGCGAGGGUGCCUUCGGGAGCCAGAACACAGGUGCUGCAUGGCUGUCGUCAGCUCGUGUCGUGAGAUGUUGGGUUAAGUCCCGCAACGAGCGCAACCCUUGUCAUUAGUUGCCAUCAUUUAGUUGGGCACUCUAAUGAGACUGCCGGUGACAAACCGGAGGAAGGUGGGGAUGACGUCAAGUCCUCAUGGCCCUUAUGGGUAGGGCUUCACACGUCAUACAAUGGUCGGUACAGAGGGUUGCCAAGCCGCGAGGUGGAGCCAAUCCCUUAAAGCCGAUCGUAGUCCGGAUCGUAGUCUGCAACUCGACUACGUGAAGUCGGAAUCGCUAGUAAUCGCGAAUCAGAAUGUCGCGGUGAAUACGUUCCCGGGCCUU
rnacentral:rRNA from 1 species